CUUAUACUCCCUCCAUCCUAAAUUUCUCGUCUUACAUUUGUUUAAAUACGGAUGUAUCUAGUUACGUUUUAGUGUUAAAUACAUCCGUAUCUAGACAAAUGUAAGACAAGAAUUUUGGGACAGAGGAAGUACAUG
rfam:Triticum aestivum genome assembly, contig: Triticum_aestivum_CS42_TGACv1_scaffold_513159_6BS